rnacentral:rRNA from 1 species
AUUGAACGCUGGCGGCAGGCCUAACACAUGCAAGUCGAGCGGAUGAAGGGAGCUUGCUCCUGGAUUCAGCGGCGGACGGGUGAGUAAUGCCUAGGAAUCUGCCUGGUAGUGGGGGAUAACGUCCGGAAACGGGCGCUAAUACCGCAUACGUCCUGCGGGAGCAAGUGGGGGAUCUUCGGACCUCACGCUAUCAGAUGAGCCUAGGUCGGAUUAGCUAGUUGGUGGGGUAAAGGCCUACCAAGGCGACGAUCCGUAACUGGUCUGAGAGGAUGAUCAGUCACACUGGAACUGAGACACGGUCCAGACUCCUAAGGGAGGCAGCAGUGGGGAAUAUUGGACAAUGGGCGAAAGCCUGAUCCAGCCAGGCCGCGUGUGUGAAGAAGGUCUUCGGAUUGUAAAGCACUUUAAGUUGGGAGGAAGGGCAGUAAGUUAAUACCUUGCUGUUUUGACGUUACCAACAGAAUAAGCACCGGCUAACUUCGUG